CAACUAAACUUAAUCUCAGCCCAUUGGCUUAAUCAAAUUAAGCUAAUUAGUAAUCGAAUUGCUAAUCAAUCCUCCUGCAACACUUGCACUAGGUUAAAUGUAAUCGUAUUGAUCGUUUAACCCUAGAAUGAUUCUUAAUUAUUGAUCAACCAUCUAAUUAGAUUGUGAUCUCUAAUGUGUGUUACCUCAUAGGUCUGAACUUAAGUUGGUAGUAUAGAAAUAAAUUUUUAUAUCAAUCGAAGUGAUCAUCUAGCA
rnacentral:lncRNA from 1 species